rnacentral:lncRNA from 1 species
CCCUCGGAGACCCGGUGUAGCAGGAAGAGCCCAUUGAUGGGGAAGGUGGGGGCGGUUGUGCACCUCAAGCAGAGGAACCAGGAGUACGGAAGGAGCAUGAAAGUGGACAAGGAACGUGACCAUUGAAGCACCACAGGGAGGGGUUCAGGCCUCCGGAUGACUGCAGGCAGGCCUGGGUAACAUCCAGCCUCCCACAAGAAGCUGGUGGAGCAGAGCGUUCCCUGACUCCUCCAAGGAAAGGAGACUCCCUUUCCCGGUCUGCUCAGUAACGGGUGCCUUCCCAGACACUGGCGUUACCGCUUGACCAAGGGGCCCUCAAGCGGCCCUUAUGCGGGCAUGACAGAAGGCUCCCCUCUUGCCUUCUAUUCACUUCUCACAAUGUCCCUUCAGCACCUGACCCUAUACCUGCCGGUUAUUCCUAGGUUAUAUUAUUAAUGCAACAGAGUAAUAUUAAAAGCUAAUGAUUAAUAAUGUUUAUAAUAAUGAUGGAUAAUUGUUCAUGAUCAUCGCUGUAUCUAAUUUGUAUUAUGACUAUUCUUAUUCUAUUUUCUUUAUUAUACUGAAA